UACGUAGGUGGCAAGCGUUGUCCGGAUUUAUUGGGUUUAAAGGGUGCGUAGGCGGCCCCAUAAGUCAGUGCUGAAAUAUCCCGGCUUAACCGGGAGGGUGGCAUUGAUACUGUGGGGCUUGAGUAAAGUUGAGGUUGGCGGAAUUGACGGUGUAGCGGUGAAAUGCUUAGAUAUCGUCAAGAACACCGAUAGUGUAGACAGCUAACUAAGCUUUAACUGUCGCUGAGGCACGAAAGUGUGGGGAUCAAACAGG
rnacentral:rRNA from 1 species